rnacentral:rRNA from 1 species
UACGUAGGGGGCAAGCGUUGUCCGGAAUCAUUGGGCGUAAAGCGCGUGUAGGCGGCUUGAUAAGUCUGCUGUGAAAGUCCAGGGCUCAACCCUGGAAUGCCGGUGGAAACUGUCAAGCUAGAGUCCGGAAGAGGCGAGUGGAAUUCCUGGUGUAGCGGUGAAAUGCGCAGAUAUCAGGAGGAACACCGGUGGCGAAGGCGGAUCUCUGGGCCGAUACUGACGCUGAGGAGCGAAAGCGUGGGGAGCAAACAGG